rnacentral:rRNA from 1 species
UACGGAGGGGGCUAGCGUUGUUCGGAAUCAUUGGGCGUAAAGGGCGCGUAGGCGGCCGAUCAAGUCGGAGGUGAAAUCCCUCGGCUCAACUGAGGAAUUGCCUUCGAUACUGUUCGGCUUGAGUCCUGGAGAGGGUAGCGGAAUUCCAGGUGUAGCGGUGAAAUUCGUAGAUAUCGGGAGGAACAUCAGUGGCGAAGGCGGCGAUCUGGGAAGUUACUGACGCUGAGGUGCGAAAGCGUGGGGAGCAAACAGG